UCUCCCGCACUGAGGCAGUGCCGGUACUGGAGGGUUUGUCGGGAUUUCCAUGGAAGGACCGAGUGACAAGCGGCACGCAGCCAGGAGAGGUGGCUGCCGUGUAGCACCACAGAAGGGCAAGGAUGCCGCAGAGAUGAAGAGCAGCAUAAAUACAGAUAAUAAACAUUUCAGAAGAAGGUUUCUCUAAAAUGAUAGUAACAAAGGGAUUUUAAUAAUGUAUUAAUUGCUAUAUGGGGACAGUAUAUAAGUGGUAGCAGUGACAUAGGAAGGGGUGCAGCUUCAAGCAACAUGACUGUGCUCCAGUAGGAAACAUUUCAAAGGGAUUUAUUAAGACUCUGCCUCAGUUUUGACUCAAGUUUGCCUGGAAUUUUUGCCUAUGCACAAUAUAAACUAAACAAAGAUUUGCAAUGGACCUGUUUUGGGAAUUUCAAUGACUACCUCAGUUCUGCAUCUGGGAGGAAAAGCAAGUGGAGUCACUGCUGUGGAGGAAGAGUAGGUAUGUCAAGAUGCUCAGAAUGAUACUAGACAUUCUAACAUCAGAAAAUAUGUCAGCACCCCAAACUUCCUACGACCUGGCAGAAGCUUGUCAUUAAAAGUCACUUUCAGAAGACCUGGAAAUACAGGGGAUCUCCAGGGGGUCGAAAAAAAGUUCAUAAUGAAACAGUAUUUGAAGGACACACAGAACAACCUGGCAAUUCACGAAGUGAACUUCUGUCCAGCCUUGACAUUGCCUGGAUUCUUCUGGCUCUGGGCCUGAUGGAAGUCCAUAGCCUGAAAUGUGUGCUGCCCAAAAUGACUGUGUUAGUAAACACCAAGAUAAAAGAAAGUAUAUUAUUUAUACUAAGUAACAUGUAUUUACAAAAAACAGAUUUUGCUGAGAUAAUCGGAUACCUUUCUCAGAAAAGCAAGACAUUUUCAUAUAAAGCUGCUAGAUGCAUGAGGCUUCAGUUUUGUGCAGCUCUUUUAUGGAGAGGUUAUAGCAUAUCAGUAUAUCAGUUCACAAUCCAGUAGUCAAGUCUAUCUUAAUGUUAAACAAUCAUUGUUCAGUAUCAUUCAUUGUUCAGGGGUAGUAACCAGUGAAGCUCCACCUAGAUUGUCUCCUGGCUAUUUUUCAUUUUGAUCUGUGGUACAGAAAAAAACCCAUAAACUCACCCUAUGGCAACAGACCAGAGGAACAGAAACUAAAAUAGGCCACUGAUGUAAUCAGAUGGUAAACAAAACCCAAGCAUAUUAUAUGUUACCCUAUUACAGGUAAACAUUAUAUAUCUAAGAAUAGAGAAUGAAGGCAAAAACUUAAGAUGGGAAACUAUGCUUUGAAGCAGUAGUUCUGGAAAAGACUCAUGAAAGAGGGACACAGCAACUGAACAGAAACUCCCACUGAAAGAGGACCUAGAGGGAUAAGGAAAUCUUUAGAUGUACAGGCAAGUGAGUUCUUGAGUUGGGCUAAGGAAGAUUUUGAGAUUUGUUAGUAAUCUUGCCAUUAUGCAGAAAUACUGGGUCUAGUUCUCCUGUGUUUGGGUCUGGGAGGAUGUUGUCACGUUAGUGGGGGGAGAGGUCAGUGUCAUUUUUCUGUGCUAGACCCAAAGCACACAUUAAAGAACUCCUAAUGGUCCAGAGACUUCUCUUAUAGACAAGAAAAUGGUGUAAUGCAGCAAGCAGAAUGCUGACAUUAGUGAAAGCAAAGCUUUUUAUACCUGAAAGAUUGAUUUCUGGUUGUUAUCAAGUAUAAUUUUCCUGGAACUGAAACCAUUCAAUACAACUGUAUUUUUCUCCUAGAUGGAAGUAAAUACCUUGAGGUCAAGCUUUCUAGCUUCUGCCUGUGACUGGGAAAAAAAUUAUGUCCCAUAAGAUAGUUUCCUGAAACAGGAAAACCUUAUGCACUUCUGAGGAUAAAUGUCAGACUAUUUCUUUUACUGGACUUUUGAAAAUAUGAAAUUAAAUAAUAGAAUCAUAGAAUCAUUAAGGUUGAAAAAGACCACCAAGAUAAUUUAGUAAAACCAUCAACCCAGCACUUUCAAGUCUGCCUUCAUUCUUUUUGAAAGGGUUUCCUCCACUUCAAGAACCCUUUUCUCUGCCCUCAUAUUUUGCUCUUGGACUGCUUUUGUGCAGGGCAACCAAUGUCAACACUUGCAUGUGUCCCCGUGUGAGGAUUUAUGUAUUUGCAAGUUGCCUGCAUCCUAACGCUUCUUUUCAUUGUGGCAGCACAGUGUAUGCAACUAGGAGGCUCAAAGUGCCUAAAAGUGUCCUUUCUUUUUUACUGAGUCACUAUGCAGUUGCUUACUGAUGAUAGAAAAAAGGAACAACUGGAGACCACCUGCUCCAAGCCCCUGCUUAGGACAGGGUUGAUUUAAUACAUGCUACUCUGUGUCUUUUCCAGUCAGUUGUAAGUAUGCCAAGGUAUGAGAAUCCUCAGUACCUCCAGGCAGCCAGUGCUUGAAAGGCUUUCCCCCCCUAAUGUUGUGAUGGAAUUUCCAUUCUUGUUCCCUGAUAGGCAAGUAAGUGUCAACUAGUGUUUACAGGGAAGGCAGUGUGCUUGAUGGUGAUGCGAUGAAGGACUAACACAGGGAGGUGGCAUUUACAUUCUUCAGCUUGCUCUUGGUCUUACUGGUUGCUCCGCAACUCCUCUUCAGUGAAACCAGAUAAGAUUUGAGUAGCAACGUUGUUCUCCAGUCAGCGGGCAGUUCAAUGACCAGGUAGUUGACCAAAGUGUUUGAUGAAGUCAGAGCAGAUUCUGUUUUGACCAGGACUUUAAUGAGUGUUGUGUUUACCUGCCUCCAUUUCAUGUCCAUCUUCUCAUGCCAGUUUUAGUAAUUUCUGGUUCCCUCCUUAGUUGCAUCUCUUGAAAGAUUUUAUAAACUAUUCCCAAUAUCUGUCUGUUUUCAGCUCUGACUUGCUAACAUCGCUGGACUUCUUCCUUGAGUCUUCACCACACAAGUGAUAUGCUUUUUCUCUUACCCUCAACUUUAUUUGGAAUUGAAAAGUUCAAAGUCUUGUGAUUUUCAAGUUUACCUUUGCAUAAUGUUCACGUUCCUGCUGCUGAUGAUUACAGCAGAUGUAGACAGCACCCAAGCACCAAGAGUAGUCUCUGGCAACACUACAAGUUCCCACCACAGCUGGAGCCACUAUCUGUAAGACAUCACGCAUCUCAUUUGCUACUUUAGGAAAAGUGUUACUCUCAGGCAGUCUCUUGAGGGGGUUCCUGCUGAGAAGACAACAGCAUGCCUUAUUUUAAUUUGGGGGUGUCAAAUCCCAAGAAAAUCUUUGGACUUUCAACUACAAAACAUUAUGUAAAACUGAACUUACUUACGAGGAAAAACCUUCCUCACAGGCUAGAGAAAAUAAAGCAAACAAACAAACAAAACCCAAAACCAAACAAGACAAAAACAAGAGCCCAAUCAACUAACCAACCAAAAAGCAAAGGAGGGCAGGAAUACCAUAUAAAUUCAUAGAUUGCUAAACGUCAUGAGUGAACAUACUAAAGAGACUUAAAUGACUUUUUGUUAAUUCAAAUGAACAAAAACUCUCUUUAAACAGACUGGAAAAGCCAGAGGAAUUUGUUUCGCAUAACCUAGAUCUGCCGUUUCUCUGGAGCUACUGGAACAUGAACAAUUUUAUACAAUAAACAUAAACCAUUCUAUACAAUAAGGGAAAUUAAUAGAGAUUAACCCACAGCAUUAAUAAGUUCAUGUUUUGUAGCCCUCAGGAUUUCCUUGCUCUUUUUGGCGGACUGGACAGCAGCUGGUUUUGGAACUGUUUCUAACCAGCAGAGCAAGCAGGCAGGUUUCCUUCCCUGGGGACAGCAAUCACAAUCCUGUCUGUUUCACUGUCAGGAGGUACCAAGAAACUGGUUUUAAAAAGCAAUAUGGAAAUAAAACAUGACCUGAAACUACACAUUGCAGUCAUGAGGAUCCAAGCAUGUCUGAGCUGGGACGGGGGGCCAUAGAUUGGCUGUUGUGGACUCCAGGGCAAAGCCAUGCAGGGAAUAAGUGCAGCAGCAUUCCCUGCUGGCCUACCCACAUACAAAUCCUAUCCCAGAUUGCUUUCAAAAUGCUAGUAAGGACUCUCCACCAAUUCUCUUUCACUGAUGUCACAAGAAGACCCACAGAAAUCCAAAAGCUCUACAGCAAGUUGUUAGCAAAGGAGAAACAGCUGGGAGAUGAGUAACUAAAGCAUUCUGUGUCUGCACACCUGCAGAGUGCAGGUUGAGACACCUCAAUGGCAAGACCCUGGAAGCUGCCCAAGAGAGGGAUGGUAGGUAUCCGACAUGUUUCUGAAGCUCUGUGGGAAACCUUCACUGUGGAAAACCCAGCUGCUGACAGGUCACACCCCAUGGCACACAUCCAUUUUUCUUUCUGUGCUUCAAGAGAAUUGAGCCAAGCUAUCUCUGCAUUCACAUAUCUCCAUAAAUUUUUCUGGUGAAGAUGGAGAUUUUAUAAAUAUGGGAGUAAAUCUCUGUGUAGGCUUAGAUGUUUGCCUCCAAAAGACUACGACAGCAUUUGAGCCAGUUAAGAUACACUGAAUGCUGGACUGAGUUCCCUUACUGGGAAGGGAGUCUGGUCUACUAUGAUGUGUGUGGAGCCAGUAGGAAAACUGGGAGAAGAGUGAAUUACUGUUACUUCUGGCAGCUGCACAAGCCCAGAAACUUUACCAUAGGCUGCUUUAAGUAGGAUUUUUUUUCUGUGUAAAGGAAUAGUGACAAACCUGUGAAUAGUUAGGGCUUGUGCAGUCUUACCUACCUCACCUUAAAAGUAUUUUCCAUUUGUAAGAGUCCCAAAAGCUCAAACACAUCUGUGACUUUCUGGCAAAAACAAAACAAACUCACAAGCCAAAUUGAAAAUUUGAUACCCUAGAUAGAGAAACCUGCAUAUAUUAUGGGUAGUGCAAAACAUUAAAAAUUUCUUGCACUACAAAUAUUACACUUAGGCCAUGGGUGACAUUCCAUUACAGCACAUGGGUGCUGUAAUUGUGAAAUGACUGUUUUUCACCUCUAAAAUUACCAGUUUCCGUGUUUUGACUCCAGUAUGGAUUCAGGGCCAUUUUCUCUGCUAUUGUUAACAUACCUGUAGUUCAUAAGCAGCAUCUCUUAUGCAGUGCAAACAUCUGUUUAAGAAAAGGGCAGCAAAAAAUAAAGUAGGAAGCAGCAAAAUAAAAGGAACUAAUUGAAAUUUCCAAGAUGGAUUCAGAAUAAAUAUCCCAACAAAUGUCAGCCAACACUAAGGAGGCCAAAUUGAAUGGUGCUCUGAGCAACCUGGUCUAGUGGAAGUUGUCCCUGCCAAUGGCAGGGUGCUGGAACUAGAUGAUCUUUAAUGUCCCUUUCAACCCAAACUAUUAUUCUAUGAUUCUUUACCAACUUUGAUGAGAAUCACUUCUCUUAGUGAUAACAACUACAGGAAACUUUGCAAAUUUGGAAUUUAAAAAACUAACCAUUGAGCUUUACUCUUCAAACUACGUCAGUGCCAUGAAAUCCCCCCCCCACCUCUGUAAGCUCUAAAUGUAAAUGCUUAUAUGAAACUGCAACUUAUCUUUUUGCUGUAUAUGAUUAACUAGUCAAAGGACUCACAGCAAGCCUGUGAGUGGUUCUGUUGUGCAAGUCAAAUGGUGAACAACAGGGAGAAUUUUUUUAUAUCCCUGUGGUAAAUGAUCAGGUAAUCCCAAGGAGACAGUCUGCAUUUCACCACUAUUGGUGAUGUGUAGGUGCAUAGUCUAAGCUAGGGCUCUAAACUCUCUCAAAAGUCAAUGAGAACAAGAGAAGAGGGAUUGCCUUUUGAAGGUGUUCAUUUAAGAAUGGGAAGAAACUGCCAAGUCAUUUUCACUGUCUGUAAAUAAAGAUAGAUUAGAUUUCAAGUUUUAUACCUCUAAAAGUUAGGCAAGACUGCCUCCUCUACAGGUAAGCCCUAUUUAAAAGGAUUAUUUCACUCUAGGCUAUAAAAUAAUUUGAUUUGAGUAGAUGUGUUUGGCAAUGGAGAUGUGUCAAUUAGGAGUAAUGGAUCUCAGUUUCAGUAGUGUCUGAAGGUGAAAAAUCCAGAGCAGACUGGAGUAUUUUACUGAAUAAUCAGUAUUAUGCUUACCUUGUAUUAUGCAUAUUUUUUCCAUUUUGUUGAUAUUGCUUUUCAUAUGGUCUUGCACUUUGAAAACAUUUAAACAAUUGAUAGUAUUACUUUUUAUUACAUACAAUUAGCUAAGUAGCCUUGGCAAAAUUAUUAUUUUUAAUAAUAUUUCCUGAUGAAGAAAAGACUAAUCUAUAUCUAGAUAUCCCAGGGGGAAAAAACGAGUCUUUGAUAGAUGGGCCUCAUGAGUGUACUAACUAUGCAUUAAAAGAUACAUGGAAAUUCUUUAUAAUGCAGUUAAAGUGAACAAAUCCAACUAACAAUCAGAAAACACUUCUUGAAUAAUUUCAAGCAGUCACCAUGCUUUUAAUUUCCCUUUUAAAAAUGAUAGUGGUAUUGAUAACAUUUUGUUGUAUAGUAAAAAAUCUGUCUGUAUUUUCUCACUGAAAGAGGUCAAAAUGGAUUGCGCUAAUCACAUGGUGUAUAAAAACCAGGCUCAAUCAAAAAACUUGAAUUCACAGUGUGAUUCAUUUUACUCAGCUACAUUCCAAAGUAAUGCACAGAUUAGGUAACAAAAAUGAUUCCUUGAUCAAUAGCUAAUAAAAAUGAUUCACUGAAUGAUCAGUGAAAUCUGAAAUAAAAAUUUGUAUUAAAAAAGCCCCAUAAAAAUUAUGUAGACAGUCAGUUUUGACAAGUGCUCACUUACAGAGUUUUCCAUAACUGAGUACAUACUUUUUUGCAAUAUGUGUGAUAGUGCCAAAAAGGGGUAGUCCUUUUUCACUGCCUUAUCUGAAACAAACCUAUUUUAAAAAUUAUGAAGAGACACAUUCUCACUACAUGAGACCACUACUUUAAUGUAGUUCAUUUUCCCUUUAGCUGGCAUCCAGGCUGCUGUUAAGGACAGGCUUCCUAGCAAAUGAAAUGGCAUCCUGCUGUGCCUUUCAUGAUGGAUACUGUACACUUACCAAUCGGUAAACCAGAGAUGACGCUACUGAAUAUUUUAUAGAAGCUUCUAAAAAAUGGAGGCUGUUAUAGUUUCUAGAGUCAGUGUGACUGAGAUCUAAGUGAUUAACUCCAGGACAUUUCUACAACCAUCCUUUUCCUUUUGUGAUUAUCUCAUUAACAGGCAUUCUAAAUUACCUAAAAUCCUAUUAAAAUCAAAAAGAAAUAGAAAGUAUAUGCCUGUCACUGACUAUGUAAUACUGCUGAAUUUUCAGAAAAGCCUGAUGAUGAGUUGCUCUAUGGAGCAACAAUCCUACUUCUAUGGAGUGACUAAUGGAAAGAUAAAGCAAGUAUGUCCUUACUGGUUGUAAGAAACUCUCUUUCUCCUUUAUCUUGCUGUGCACAAUCAAAUUUUUUGGUAGGAGGUGUGCUAAAUAUUCAUGCUAAAAACAUUAAUGCGAAAAUAUGGAUUUAAAAAACAUUACCAUGAAAUAAUAGUGAUAAAGAAGCCUAGAUAUGAUGACUUGGAAGUGGAAUUACAGCAGCAUCUGAGCAUCAGAUCUGAAUUCAGUUUAGCUCUGACAUCAAACUGUCUGCAUUAUAGACAUGUAAUUUCAUGUACUUUCACACCCCAUCUCCAUCUCAUGCUUUCUGUUUCAUCCUAUCCACCUGUUUCACCCAUUUAGAAUAAAUGUUUUGGGGGCAAUAGCUCAUUUCAUAGAUGCCUUCAUGUUAAAUAGACCAAAUUGUAUUGGUCCUAAUCCUAAUUACAAUAUUACAACUAGGGAAAGGAUAAUUCACAUCCAAAUAAUAAAGGGGUAAAGUAUAAUGAACUUUAAAAGGUCAUUGGUGAUUCAUACAGAAGGAGAGAAGUUCUUUAGAAGGCUGAAACCAGAAUUACUCAUCAGGAUGGUGGGAUUUGCUUUAGCCCCAAAAAAGAAAUCAAAGCGAAGUCUGCAAUUGGAUUUUAACUACAACAAUACCAGGUCUGUGGAAUUCAGAGUCUUCAUUCAGGCAAAAUUUAAUACCAAAGGUCUCUUAGGCUGGAUCAACUAAAACAUUGAUACUAAAACAGGAUAGAAAUUACUGGGUUUAGUAUGUAUGAAAUUAAUAGUUCACAAAAAAUUAAAGCAGAGAGUUCUCUUGUGUGACUGUUUAUUUCUUUGUCGUUUUGGCAACCUAAUUCCUGAGGCUGGAUACAUCAGAUUAUCAGUGAAUAUUUAAAUGUAAUGAACAUGACAACAAUAAACACAAGCUUGCAGUUCAGAGAAUGAUCUAAGAUGAACUUAAAACCUUUGCUUGUAGGAUUGAGAAAAAAGGUUGAAAUCUGUUGGGAGUUUGCCUUUAUGGCUUGGAAGAGGGAAAUGGACUUCCAGAGCACUAGAUCAUAAAGGACCUUAUUCCUAUUGCUCUCAAACCCAGCAAAUAUGAAGAAAGAGACUUUCACUUAUGUGCAGAGUGAAAUGUGAUACACAGUGAAGGCUCAGGUCUGAAUCAUGCCUAUCAACUUCUGUAGUUCCACUGGGCAGUGGUCCAUCAACCUUUGCACAAAGUGUAGCAGCAAACAGUGUUCUUGUACAGUAGUUCUUUACAACAGAAUAAAGGUGAUGGUAUCUUG